UACGUAGGGGGCAAGCGUUAUCCGGAUUUACUGGGUGUAAAGGGAGCGUAGACGGCAGGGCAAGUCUGGAGUGAAAGCCCGGGGCCCAACCCCGGGACUGCUUUGGAAACUGCCAUGCUGGAGUGCUGGAGAAGUAUGCGGAAUGCGCGGUGUAGCGGUGAAAUGCAUAGAUAUCGCGCAGAACUCCGAUUGCGAAGGCAGCAUGCCGGCUCCACACUGACGCUGAGGCACGAAAGCGUGGGUAUCGAACAGG
rnacentral:rRNA from 1 species